UUCUUAUGUGGCCUUUGAGAUUGGUAAGAAAUUGCAUGCGUGGAAGCUGUGAAGAUCAGUUGUUUCAUGUUACUGAAUCUGGGUAGGACUUUUUAACUUUUGCAAAAUAGACUAUGCACAAUUUUGUUGUCUAUGGAGAUGGAUUUGAUAUAGCUCAGACAAUCCAUGAAAAUAAUGUGGUAGCAACUUGCUAAAACCUGG
rnacentral:misc_RNA from 1 species